GAUGAACGCUGGCGGCGUGCCUAAUACAUGCAAGUCGAGCGAACAGAUGAGGAGCUUGCUCCUCUGACGUUAGCGGCGGACGGGUGAGUAACACGUGGAUAACCUACCUAUAAGACUGGGAUAACUUCGGAAAACCGGAGCUAAUACCGGAUAAUAUAUUGAACCGCAUGGUUCAAUAGUGAAAGACGGUUUUGCUGUCACUUAUAGAUGGAUCCGCGCCGCAUUAGCUAGUUGGUAAGGUAACGGCUUACCAAGGCAACGAUGCGUAGCCGACCUGAGAGGGUGAUCGGCCACACUGGAACUGCGACACGGUCCAGACUCCUACGGGAGGCAGCAGUAGGGAAUCUUCCGCAAUGGGCGAAAGCCUGACGGAGCAACGCCGCGUGAGUGAUGAAGGUCUUCGGAUCGUAAAACUCUGUUAUUAGGGAAGAACAAAUGUGUAAGUAACUAUGCACGUCUUGACGGUACCUAAUCAGAAAGCCACGGCUAACUACGUG
rnacentral:rRNA from 1 species